GUCAGUGUGGGGUAGUGGUUUGUGUAUUGCAUUAUGACUCUAGAGACCGGGGUUUGAAUCCCUGAUCUGCCA